CGGGUGUGAUGACACUUAAGCCUUGAUACCUACGUCCAACGGAUAGGGUGUCCUGGCCGCAACCUGAGGUUGCCAGGGUGCAGGAAGAAAUGACUGCAUCUCCCGAUACUGGAAAGGUGUUCCUUUUGCCACAAU
rnacentral:ncRNA from 2 species